rnacentral:rRNA from 1 species
UAGGGAAUCUUCCGCAAUGGACGCAAGUCUGACGGAGCAACGCCGCGUGCGUGAAGAAGGACUUCGGUUCGUAAAACUCUGUUGUUAGAGAAGAACAGCGCAUAGAGUAACUGUUAUGCGUGUGACGGUAUCUAACCAGAAAGCCACGGCUAACUACGUGCCAGCAGCCGCGGUAAUACGUAGGUGGCAAGCGUUGUCCGGAUUUAUUGGGCGUAAAGCGAGCGCAGGCGGUCAAUUAAGUCUGAUGUGAAAGCCCCCGGCUCAACCGGGGAGGGUCAUUGGAAACUGGUGGACUUGAGUCCAGAAGAGGGGGGGGGAAUUCGAUGUGUAGCGGUGAAAUGCGUAGAUAUAUGGAGGAACACCAGUGGCGAAGGCGACUCACUGGUCUGUAACUGACGCUGAGGCUCGAAAGCGGGGGUAGCAAACAGG